AUGGGAGAGGUGGCGCCGGUGGGCGACGGCGACGGCGCGGCGAUGAGGAGGGCGGUGAGGCGGCUGAGCCUCGGCGCGGCGACGGAGGACGAGAGGGCGGAGGCGGCCGGGGAGGUCGGGAGGCUGGCGCGGUCGGAUGAGCGGACCAAGCGCGCGCUCCCGGAGCUCGGCGUCGUGCCGCCGCUCGUGUCCAUGCUCGCGGACGCCGCGGCAGGCGCCGGCGCGCGUCUGGCCGCCGCGCGGGCGCUGCUCGAGCUCGCCAGAGGAACCCACAGAAACAAGGUUCACAUAGUGAAGGCCGGCCUGCUCAAGAAGCUGCCGCGGCUCAUGGACCUGUCAACAAGCCACGACCUCGCGCUGCUCCUCCUCUCCGUCUCCUCGCUGGCCAACACCGACUUCCCGCUGUCCACGGCCGACCUCCUCCCGUUCCUCGUCGCCACGCUGGGCGCCGCCGACGUCCCGGCCGACACAAGGCUGGCGUGCCUGGCCGCGCUCCGCGACCUCUCCGCCAAGCUCGAGCACGUCCGGGCCGUGGUCACCAGCGGCGCCGUGCGCGCGCUCCUGGCGCUCUCCCUACUGGAGCGGACCGAGACCACUGCAGCGGAGGCGGCCCUGGGCGUGCUCGCGGACGUGGCGUCGGCGAGCGCGGCAGGGAGGCGGGAGAUGGCGGAGGACGAGGAGGCGCCCAGGGCGCUGGUGGAGGCCAUGGCGCGGCACGAGAGCGCGGGGUGCCAGGAGCACGCGACGUACCUGGUCAUGGCGCUCGCGCACGGCGGCGGCGGCGGCCGCGCGCUGCGGUGGCGGAUGCGCCAGCUCGGCGCCGUGCAGGCGCUCCUCGAGGUGUCGCUGCUCGGGAGCCCCCUCGCGCGGAGCAGGGCGGCCAAGAUCCUGCAGUGGUUCAAGGACGACGGGCAGGACAGGAUCAGGGCGCACUCCGGCCCGCGCAUGGAAGCCGCGGCGUCGCAGCCGUGCCAUGGCAACGACGGCGGUGCCAACGGGACGAAGGCUUGCCGGAGCGCCGUGGACAGGAUAGUGAAGCAGAGCCUGGACAUGAACAUGAGAUCCAUCAUGCGGCGAGCCACGGCGUCCGUGGACAUGACCAACGCUAAGCAGCUGGUGGCCAGCUCUAGCUCCAAGAGCUUGCCUUGCUGA
rnacentral:rRNA from 1 species